UUGUAGUCUGGAGAAGCGUCCUCAGCGACGGACCGGGCCCAAGUCCCCUGGAAAGGGGCGCCGGGGAGGGUGAGAGCCCCGUCCGGCCCGGACCCUGCCGCAACACGAGGCGCUGUCGGCGAGUCGGGUUGUUUGGGAAUGCAGCCCAAAUAGGGCGGUAAAUUCCGUCCAAGGCUAAAUAUAGGCGAGAGACCGAUAGCGAACAAGUACCGCGAGGGAAAGAUGAAAAGGACUUUGAAAAAAGAGUCAAAGAGUGCUUGAAAUUGUCGGGAGGGAAGCGGAUGGGGGCCGGCGGUGCGCCUCGGCCCGAAGCGGAACGGCAGCUGUUGGUCCGCUGGUCGGCUCGAGGUGCGGAUCGUUGCAGGCCAUCCCGGCGGCAGGAGCCCGGGCGAUCGAUGCCCGCGGAGGCACCGUCGGGGCGGUCGGCAUGCACAGCGCGCGCCUUCGUGGCGAGCCCUACGAGGCUCUUGCGUGCUCGUUGCAACGGCCUGUGGGCUCCCCAUUCGACCCGUCUUGAAACACGGACCAAGGAGCCUGACAUGCGUGCGAGCCGACGGGUGUCCAAGCCCGGUGGGCGCAAGGAAGCUGAUGUGCGGGAUCCUCUCGAUGGGUGCACCGCCGACCGACCUCGAUCUU
rnacentral:rRNA from 1 species